AGAACACCUGCCCCUACUGGAGCAAUCGCCUUGAAAAAUGACAUAGCUGUUGUUGAUACACCAUUUGCAGUGCCUCUAUGUUCUUGAAGCUGAUAUUGAAUUUCAAAGAAGAGCUUUGAAAUUGCUUACUGCAAGAGCACUUUUCAUCAUUGCCGCUGAAUAAAAAGCUAAGGAAAGUUCCGCGCCAGAUAGGUAUGUCAUAAAAGGAUAAGUAGAAAGAAUAAGUAUAGAUAGAGCCUGCAAUUUCACUAUGUGAGAACAUGAAUCUUUAAAGUCUGAUGAAUAGUUCAGAAUAUAUAUAUAAAUUAUGUAUGUUGGGGGAAAGAUGGCAAUAUACCUGCAACAGCAAGAACCUGACCAAUAUCCUCAGAUGAAAAGCUAAGGCCACCAUAUUUUCUAUCACUCACAGCCCACAAGGAUAAUAUCUCACUGUAUGCUGUGUCAUGAAGACCAAAAAAACAAUAUGAAAUCAUAGUAGACAUCCAUGGCCGAUUCUGGAACAAGCUCUUCUUACGAGGGCUAAGUAACGAGCAUUUAGUGCUAGAAUUCGCUUAAGAAUUAUUGGGGAAAUGGCAUCUAAGUGAAACUUUACGUACCGGAAGCCAAAUACAACUUAUCAGAACAAUAGCAGCAAACAAUGAUACACCAAGGCAAGGUAAGAGAUACGGGAAUCUGCAAAAUCUUCUUUUCUUCUUUUUCCAUUUUGAAAUUAGUACCUGUGCAAGGUAGCCUCCAAGAGCUGGACCAACAACGAGACCCAAACCCCAUGCUGUGUUAACCUAUGAUCAAAGUAAAUCAUAACAGCUUUAUAGCAGUGCAUAUUGAAAGGAUUGUGGAACACAAUGGGGGCAAACAAGAGAAUUGCUUGGCAUUACAAUGGAGAGUCCAAGAGCUUGAUGUUCAGUUUGGCAAACUUCAAUAGAAUAAGCCUGUAAUGCUUGAUAAAUACUAUGUUAGGAAAGCUCCCUCCUAGGCACAUGAAUAAUUUCAUACAACUUCAUGCUGAAAUUGUCACUUGAAAGACUUUUAGUUACCUUUAUUGGCGCAAGUAAACCAUUUAGAGCACCUAGAACAAACCUUGUAGUAAGUGCCAUCCAAUACUUUGUACUUAGCCCAAAUAAUGUGUUAAAUAUGACCCUACAACAAUAUUGAAAACACAAUGACAGGUUUCCUUCCUAUACGAUCUGCCACAACUCCCCAAAAUAUCGCGGCAAAGGAUCUACCAACCAUGUACGAAGCACCUUCAUUUCAAAACAUCAAUGGAUAGAAUAACUUACAUUGUGAAACGGAGGGAGUAUAUAUAUAAAAAAAAUGCAGUAGCUGAAAUGAACGGAUUACAUGAGGCAAGAGUGGUAACGGCGACGAAGAAGAGCUCCGUGUAGGGGAUCCGCCCUCCGCGGCUCGCCUUCCUCCGCUCCUGCACGCACCCCGGGCACCUCUCCUCCGCCGUCGCCGUCGCCGCCGCCACCGGCAGCAGCAGCGGCGCCGCCUCCUCGCUGCCGCUGCCCAUCGAUCUC
rnacentral:sRNA from 1 species